ensembl:miRNA
AGCUAGAAACCUUGCCUGAGAUGUGCUGAUGAAUUUCAGUCAUUGUUUCUGGUAGU